rnacentral:rRNA from 1 species
AUCGCCUGCCUUUGGUCAGAAGGGUUCCACACAACAUCGAGGAUCACCACACGCGAUGCUCCAAAGAGGGUGAUACCUUCUCCACACACUUUGGUCGAUGCAAGCAUCACCUUGGCCUCGCACUACAUAUCAUUGAAGUCCACCAUCAAGGCCUUGCGGGUUUUAACAUAGACAUUUCCACUCAUAUACAUGAGCUUGUUGCGUUUAGUGCAGUUGAACUCUUUCCAGAAACUGGCUAAACACAAGCACUCACUCUUUUAA